rnacentral:rRNA from 1 species
UGGGGAAUAUUGGACAAUGGGGGCAACCCUGAUCCAGCCAUGCCGCGUGCGUGAAGAAGGCCUUAGGGUUGUAAAGCGCUUUCAGCGGGGACGAUGAUGACGGUACCCGCAGAAGAAGCCCCGGCUAACUCCGUGCCAGCAGCCGCGGUAAUACGGAGGGGGCGAGCGUUGUCCGGAAUUAUUGGGCGUAAAGAGCGUGUAGGCGGCUUGGUAAGUCUGUCGUGAAAUGCUGGGGCUCAACCCUGGACGUGCGAUGGAUACUGCUAGGCUAGAGGAUGGUAGAGGCGAGUGGAAUUCCCGGUGUAGCGGUGAAAUGCGCAGAUAUCGGGAGGAACACCAGUAGCGAAGGCGGCUCGCUGGGCCAUUCCUGACGCUGAGACGCGAAAGCGUGGGGAGCAAACAGGAUUAGAUACCCGUGUAGUCC